GCUGGCGGCGUGCCUAAUACAUGCAAGUCGAACGAGUUCUCGUUGAUGAUCGGUGCUUGCACCGAGAUUCAACAUGGAACGAGUGGCGGACGGGUGAGUAACACGUGGGUAACCUGCCCUUAAGUGGGGGAUAACAUUUGGAAACAGAUGCUAAUACCGCAUAGAUCCAAGAACCGCAUGGUUCUUGGCUGAAAGAUGGCGUAAGCUAUCGCUUUUGGAUGGACCCGCGGCGUAUUAGCUAGUUGGUGAGGUAAUGGCUCACCAAGGCGAUGAUACGUAGCCGAACUGAGAGGUUGAUCGGCCACAUUGGGACUGAGACACGGCCCAAACUCCUACGGGAGGCAGCAGUAGGGAAUCUUCCACAAUGGACGCAAGUCUGAUGGAGCAACGCCGCGUGAGUGAAGAAGGCUUUCGGGUCGUAAAACUCUGUUGUUGGAGAAGAAUGGUCGGCAGAGUAACUGUUGUCGGCGUGACGGUAUCCAACCAGAAAGCCACGGCUAACUACGUGCCAGCAGCCGCGGUAAUACGUAGGUGGCAAGCGUUAUCCGGAUUUAUUGGGCGUAAAGCGAGCGCAGGCGGUUUUUUAAGUCUGAUGUGAAAGCCCUCGGCUUAACCGAGGAAGCGCAUCGGAAACUGGGAAACUUGAGUGCAGAAGAGGACAGUGGAACUCCAUGUGUAGCGGUGAAAUGCGUAGAUAUAUGGAAGAACACCAGUGGCGAAGGCGGCUGUCUGGUCUGUAACUGACGCUGAGGCUCGAAAGCAUGGGUAGCGAACAGGAUUAGAUACCCUGGUAGUCCAUGCCGUAAACGAUGAAUGCUAGGUGUUGGAGGGUUUCCGCCCUUCAGUGCCGCAGCUAACGCAUUAAGCAUUCCGCCUGGGGAGUACGACCGCAAGGUUGAAACUCAAAGGAAUUGACGGGGGCCCGCACAAGCGGUGGAGCAUGUGGUUUAAUUCGAAGCAACGCGAAGAACCUUACCAGGUCUUGACAUCUUUUGAUCACCUGAGAGAUCAGGUUUCCCCUUCGGGGGCAAAAUGACAGGUGGUGCAUGGUUGUCGUCAGCUCGUGUCGUGAGAUGUUGGGUUAAGUCCCGCAACGAGCGCAACCCUUAUGACUAGUUGCCAGCAUUUAGUUGGGCACUCUAGUAAGACUGCCGGUGACAAACCGGAGGAAGGUGGGGAUGACGUCAAAUCAUCAUGCCCCUUAUGACCUGGGCUACACACGUGCUACAAUGGAUGGUACAACGAGUUGCGAGACCGCGAGGUCAAGCUAAUCUCUUAAAGCCAUUCUCAGUUCGGACUGUAGGCUGCAACUCGCCUACACGAAGUCGGAAUCGCUAGUAAUCGCGGAUCAGCACGCCGCGGUGAAUACGUUCCCGGGCCUUGUACACACCGCCCGUCACACCAUGAGAGUUUGUAACACCCGAAGCCGGUGGCGUAACCCUUUUAGGGAGCGAGCCGUCUAAGGUGGGACAAAU
rnacentral:rRNA from 2 species